rnacentral:lncRNA from 1 species
ACAAAUUUAGUUGCAUAUUAGGAAUGCAGUAUAGACUAGGGAAUGACCCCUAGGUCGUCUCUCAAGGACCAAAUGUGGUUCGAGUCUUAGGUCUAACACGAAGNGGGGGGGGGGGGUUUGUGAAAGUGGAUAAACAAAAAGACAAAAUCAUAACAAUUAAAUUAACGCAACCAAACACAUUAGACAUCAUUUAAACAAAUUAAAAUACUAGACCCCAACACUGUAACAAACAAUCAACUAACACAGUNAAAUUAAUUUAAAUGCAACACUAAAUGAAAAAGAUAAAAUAAAACUACGACUUGAAUAAAGACAAAAUAAAUUGCAAGCUCCUUCCAUUAAUGCAUUCCAAUACAUUACUAUAAAAA